rnacentral:rRNA from 1 species
GAUGAACGCUGGCGGCGUGGCUAAGGCAUGCAAGUCGAGUGGGUUUAGACCCACGGCAAACGGGAGAGUAACACAUUGGUAAUCUACCCCGAGGUCGAGUAUAACCCGCCGAAAGGCGGGAUAAUCCUCGAUAGAAGUGGGGGGUCAAAAGACAUUCCCACUUAAAGUUCAGGCGCCUCGGGAGGAGCCUAUGGCCUAUCAGCUUGUUAGUGAGGUAAAAGCUCACCAAGGCUAUGACGGGUACCGGGUGUGAGAGCAUGGCCCGGCUCACUGGGACUGAGACACUGCCCAGACUCCUACGGGUGGCAG